AUCAGACGACCCUGGAAUCAGUUCAACUGGAGAUAGGGUUCAAAUGAAGGUAAAGAGUAGCCGUUCUUGCUACUUCCUCGGUGCAUCAUUUGUGAUCCUUGAAAAUUUGAGCGAGAUAAUCAAUUUCGCACUUAUCUGUACUCUAAACCGCAUCAGGUCUCCAAGGUGAAAAGCCUCUAGUCAAUUAGAACAAGGUAGCACAAGGGAAGUCGGCAAAAUCGAUCGGCAACUUCGGGAUAACGAUUGGCUCUAAGUGCUAGGGUGUUCGGGCUUGAUGAUAAAGCAGUAGACUUGCUAUUGGAGCUGAGCUUUCGGAUACAGCAAUGUGUCUGAUCGUUCGGACUAGUGGCUUGUCUUGCUGUGGAAUCGUUUGCUACGGUAUGCGGUUCGCUUGCGGAUCGUAUUACUUCGGACAUCGUUUAAUAGCAAACUUAGAACUCGCUGCGUCUAGGGGAAUCCGACUGUCUAAUUAAAACAGAGCUUU
rnacentral:rRNA from 1 species